GGAAAAACAAGAUGAUGUCAUGUCAUAAUGGAUUAAUGCUUUGUAUGGACUCUUCAUUUUGAUUGGAGACACAGAAGAGAGCUGAAUUAACUAAGCACACCCUCCUUGGAACCCAGACACCACUUUCUGAGCAGCUACAUGAAGAGAGCACUUGGUGGGCUUUGGCCAUGGCUCCAUCUGAUAUCUUAGCUGAUAGCAUCAACAAUGAAGGAGUCAUCAGGAGACACUUGGUGAUAUUGAAGUUCAAGAGAAAGAACAUCAAGGGAGGCAGAAGUAGUGAACAAGAGGAAGACUGAGGACCCCCAAACUUGGACAUGACUCAGUAGAAACACACUGUAAAAUUUUCAGAAAGUUCAAGAUUCCUCUUGCUUCUGAUUAAAAGGGUCACAGCCCUCCCUAGUCCAGGUGCUGAAUAUGCAGUGUGGAAUAAUGGAGUAUUCCUAUUUUCGUAGAUUUUACAUGAUCGUGAAGAAAGCAAAAACUGACACAUACUUAUGUAAUAAUGAUAUCAAGGUUAUGAAGCAAAAAAAAUUGAAUAAGGCAGUGGAGAAUAUACGACAAGAGAAAGAAGCCAUCUGAGAAGCUGACUCCCUGCCCCAGUCAAGCCUUCAGAUGACUGUAGCCCCUGGCAAUAUCUUGGGGGCAAUGGAAGGAGACACCCUGAACCAAUCCACACAGAGAAGCUGACCCUGGAUUCCUGAGCUGGAGAGGCUGCUGCCAUGAAGUGAAAAAUCUACUCUGCCACACACAUUCCUACUGCCAUAAUGCACUGUGCCAUCACAGACACAAAGCAACUGGGCCAAGUGUCAUUGGAAUGCAACUGGUUUGAGCAAGGAAAUUCUAUGGAAGGAUCUGAAGAACUGGAUUGAUCGGCCCUUUGCUGUCUAUCCCCACGUAAGAAGAGAACUGCAAGUGCCAAGGCUCAGAAAUGUUCAAGAGUCGGCAUCCUCUGAGGUAUGGUGAGAAAAAGGUUCUUGAGUGAGGAGCAGAGGGUGCCAUGGCCAGGGGCAUGGAGCAAUCCCAGGUUCCAAUCCCAGGUCUGUAUUUACUAGCUUUAUAACCUGGGAGGAGUUUGGGUAAGUCUUUGAGCUUUUCUUUCCUUAUCUAGAAAAAGGGACAUAACAGUACCUACCUUAGAAGAUUUCUUUCAAUACAGCAUUAGUUCCUAUCUCCUUAGGAAAGCUCACCCUCUUAGCGCGGGUCUCUUCUCCAUGGAUCCACCUAAUCCCUUGUUGAAUACGAAGGGUCAGGAGAGAUUCACUGGAGAAGGGAGAAGAUGGUGGGAGGGAGGGUCAUAGGGGGCAAAGUUAAAAGAAGAGUUGAGUGGGAGUCUGGGUCUCAGAAACAUGUCUCAGAUACCAGUCAGAGAAACAUAAGAGGCCCAAGCUUAUUACUUGCUCAGCAUCAGGCACGUGGCUUCUAAUGCUAUAUUUAAAACGCUACUGAAAUUAUGAUCCUGUUGUAG
rnacentral:lncRNA from 1 species